CCUACGGGUGGCAGCAGUGAGGAAUAUUGGUCAAUGGGCGAGAGCCUGAACCAGCCAAGUCGCGUGAGGGAUGACUGCCCUAUGGGUUGUAAACCUCUUUUGUAUGGGGAGAAUAAGAUUCACGUGUAGAGUGAUGAAAGUACUAUAUGAAUAAGCAUCGGCUAACUCCGUGCCAGCAGCCGCGGUAAUACGGAGGAUGCGAGCGUUAUCCGGAUUUAUUGGGUUUAAAGGGUGCGUAGGCGGGAUGUUAAGUCAGUGGUGAAAUUUUGGGGGUUAACCGUAACAUUGCAAUUGAUCCUGGAAGUCUUGAGUACAGUUGAGGUAGGCGGAAUAAGUGGUGUAGCGGUGAAAUGCAUAGAUAUAACGAAGAACCCCGAUUGCGAAGGCAGCUUACCAAACUGUGACUGACAUUGAUGCUCGAAAGUGUGGGUAUCAAACAGGAUUAGAUACCCGAGUAGUC
rnacentral:rRNA from 1 species